rnacentral:rRNA from 1 species
GGGAGCAAACAGGAUUAGAUACCCUGGUAGUCCACGCCGUAAACGAUGUCUACUUGGAGGUUGUGGCCUUGAGCCGUGGCUUUCGGAGCUAACGCGUUAAGUAGACCGCCUGGGGAGUACGGUCGCAAGAUUAAAACUCAAAUGAAUUGACGGGGGCCCGCACAAGCGGUGGAGCAUGUGGUUUAAUUCGAUGCAACGCGAAGAACCUUACCUACUCUUGACAUCCAGAGAAGCCAGCGGAGACGCAGGUGUGCCUUCGGGAACUCUGAGACAGGUGCUGCAUGGCUGUCGUCAGCUCGUGUUGUGAAAUGUUGGGUUAAGUCCCGCAACGAGCGCAACCCUUAUCCUUGUUUGCCAGCGAGUAAUGUCGGGAACUCCAGGGAGACUGCCGGUGAUAAACCGGAGGAAGGUGGGGACGACGUCAAGUCAUCAUGGCCCUUACGAGUAGGGCUACACACGUGCUACAAUGGCGCAUACAGAGGGCUGCCAACCAGCGAUGGUGAGCGAAUCCCAAAAAGUGCGUCGUAGUCCGGAUUGGAGUCUGCAACUCGACUCCAUGAAGUCGGAAUCGCUAGUAAUCGUGGAUCAGAAUGCCACGGUGAAUACGUUCCCGGGCCUUGUACACACC